rnacentral:rRNA from 1 species
GACAGAGGGUGCAAACGUUGUUCGGAAUUACUGGGCGUAAAGCGUGUGUAGGCGGCUUUGCAAGUCGGAUGUGAAAGCCCCGGGCUCAACCCGGGAAGUGCACUCGAUACUGCAGAGCUUGAGUGUGGGAGAGGUUGGUGGAAUUCUCGGUGUAGAGGUGAAAUUCGCAGAUAUCGAGAGGAACACCGGCGGCGAAGGCGGCCAACUGGACCAACACUGACGCUGAGACACGAAAGCGUGGGGAGCAAACAGG